AAAAGUACCGAAAUUCUUGGAUAUAGUGAGGAGUGGUAACUCCACCACCGUUGGCGUGUGUUGUACUGCCAGCGGUCGAGGAGUUCCUUAACCUCGCUGUAAUUCUCCAAAGGACAAGGUAAGUUG
rnacentral:pre_miRNA from 1 species